UCACCCCGCGUGGGAGAGACCGGCAAGCCCGUCCCGGGUUUGUUGCCGGCGCCGAAGGGGCAAACUCCCCGGAACCUCUCAGGCACCAGGACCACGCGGAGCAG
rnacentral:ncRNA from 2 species